rnacentral:rRNA from 1 species
UAGGGAAUAUUGGGCAAUGGAAGCAAUUCUGACCCAGCCAUGCCGCGUGAAGGAAUACAGCCCUAUGGGUUUUAAACUUCUUUUAUUAUAGAGUAACCGGAGGUACGUGUACCUCCCUGCAAGUAUAUGAUGAAUAAGGAACGGCUAACUCCGUGCCAGCAGCCGCGGUAAUACGGAGGAUCCAAGCGUUAUCCGGAUUUAUUGGGUUUAAAGGGUGCGAAGGCGUAUCAAUAAGUCAGGGGUGAAAAAUUUCAGCUUAACUG